CCCUCCUGUCCAGAAACCACUACUCCAACUUCUAGCCCAUCACGAACUAAGAGACGUGUCGUCGUCUCAGAAGGUGAGAGUUGAACUCCAUACAGGUGGCUCCGUGACUGAUAAUUGGAUAAAUUUCUUAUUUGGUUAGUAUGCCUCAACUUGUGAAUCAAAUUAAGAAGAUACAGGUAUUAACAUAGAGCUGGCAAUUUCCUUGGAAAUUUUCUUUAAGCCUUUGGCUCCUUGAUUCUGAUAUUCUGGUGCACCCGUAAACGACAGUACUGUGCGGUUUGCAAAAGCUCAAGCAUCUUAAGGCAAUGUUGCCCUAGUAAAAAGGAUUUUAAAAAGAACAAACCACGUUUGUUUGAUUAUUAGGACAAAAAAAAAAUCUAGAAGAACAAACAUUUUCAAAAGAAAGCAAAACAAAAAAAAACUUUUGUCAGUUUUCUGUUACUCAAACCAAAAUUGAACCAACUUCUACAUUAGCCCCCAAAUUCUAAAUAUUUUCACUUUGACCCUCUUCUUGUAAAUGAAUUUACUGUUUCAUAACCUUCUUUUCCAGAAAGAAAUGAAAAGUAAAUCAGUUUCCAAAAACUUCCCAAUUGACUGUUUGAACACACCUUAGUGAGUUGCCAAAUCCUGAAUGUUCUCAUGUUUUUUCUAGACAGUUUUAAUGUCAAUUCAAGAGGUCCUUAUCUCAACAUUAGUUGUGAAAACUAGACUCAUAAUUUUUUGGUUAGAUGAUAUUGACUCAUCUUAAAAAGAUUUCCUUGUUCUUGAAAUGCAGAUAUCCUAUUAUGGUCUUAGCAACCGUUUUUUUUUUAAUCGACUCGGUUAUGAAUGUUUCCUUUUUUAGGUGAGAGUUUCCCUGUUACUGAGAUGCAGCAACGACACUUAUUUUUUCCAUCUUACCAUGCUUGUGCAUUUAUAUGCUACCAUUGACAGAAUUUUGUGUGUCUAUCCAUAUGGAUUUUUCUUUAUAUCAUGCUUUUUCAGUCUUACCAUGCUUGUGCAUUUAUAUGUCGCCAUUGACAAAAUUUUGUGUAUCAUAUGGAUUUUGCUUUAUGUCGUGCUUUCUCCAUCUUACCAUGCUGGUGCAUUUAUGUCCCCCAUUGACAAAAUUUUGUGUAUUAGCCUUAUGGGUUUUUCUUUAUGUCAUGCUUACUGACUUCCAAAUAACAACCACUAUUUGUGCCUCACUUUAAGCAAGUUGGGACGACUAUGAAUCUUCCUUAUCUUGCUUCAUUUAAGAUCAUCUCAUCAUGCUGGGUGAUGUAAAAAUAUUUAUUUCCUAUUUAAGAUUACUAAUGUAUUACACAUGCAUAGAAGCAGGGGUUUUUACCCUGUGCGCACCCAAAGGCUAGCGACUGUGGAUUUCCCUUGUCAUAAAAAGAAUGUAUUACACAUGCAUAUUACAUGAUAUAUAGAAUAUCACUACAAUUUUUGAAUGCUUGUAUGUAAAUUAGGGGGGAAACAGGGAAGAAAUUGUACAAAGAAAGGUGACAUUUCUUAAUUGCAACAACUAUAGGGGUAUCAAGCUGCUAAGUUACAUUAUGAAAGUUUGGGAUAGGGUGGUAAAGAUGAAGGUAAGAAGGGGUAUGUCUAUUUUCGAGAAUCAAUAUGGAUUCAUGUUAAGGCGCUCGACUACAAAAGUCAUUCAUCUUUUAAGGAGACUAGUGGAGUUGUAUAGAGAGUGGAAGAGGACUUGCACUUGGUGUUCAUUUACCUAGAUAAUGCAUACGACAAAGUCCCAAAACGGUCUUAUGGAGAUGCUUGGACGCUAGAGGCUUACCUGUGGCAUAUGAUCAAGGACAUUUAUGUUGGAACCAAGAUCAGGAUAAGGACAGUGAGAGGAGACUCAGAGCACUUCCCGAUUGUGAUGGGGUUGCACGAGGGAUCAACUUUUAGCUUGUUUUUAUUUGCUUUGGUGAUUGAUGAAUUGACACGGUACUAAGGUGAUGUGCCAUGGUAUAUGUUAUUUAUGGAGGACAUAAUUCUAAUUGACGAGACUCGCAGCGUUUAAAGGGUUCAGGUUGAGCAUGAGGUUGAGCAUGAUCAAGACAUAAUACUUUGAGUGCAAGUUCACUGACGUAACCAUGAGACUCACAUCGAAGUGAGGCUUGAUACUAGGACAUCCAAAAGAGAGGAAGUACUAAGUAUCUUGGGUCUAUUAUCUAAAGAAACGGGAAUGAUAUCACACAUCGUAUUGUUGCAAAGUGGAUGAAAUAGAGGUUCACUUCUGAAGUCUUGUGUUAUUAAGGGAAGGUGUCACCAAAACUUAAAGGCAAGUUCUAUAGAGUUUGACCAACUUUGUUGUAUGGGCAGAAUGUUGGACAAGGUGGAGCUCACCUCUAUCGCUUUUCUUCCCCGAAGUGAGGCAUAGAAGAAAAAGUGUGCACUUCUAUGACUGAAGCGAGAAGAGAGAAAGGAACCGAAGGGGUGUAUUAGCGAGUUCGACUGCUGCGGCUGGUUUUAUAUUAAAAUUUUGUAAAAGCGUACUCAUGCGUUUUCUCUUCCUAAACAUCUGCUUAGAGUUCGACUGCUAGGAGCCCAUGACUUCUCUUCAAGAUGCAGGUUCGCUCAAUCAAAUAAUGGACGCUGACUACGAUUUGGAUUGUCUCCCUGGCUCAAUGGAAAGAGAAACCCGUUCUUCACUUCUUCAAGACAAAAAUCAUGCAUUUCCUCCAAAUACCAUUUGUGCAAGUCAAACUCAUGAUAGGUGAGCAAAAUCAUAUGCACAUGGUUUAGCGGUUUGUUGUGCUCUGUGAUCUUAUUAUUCUUCUCCAAGACCCGAUGCAUCAUGCUUCUUUAGCUUAGUAAGACUUCAAACACGCUAUUGCGUGAAAGAAACACAUAUGUUCUGGCUUAGCCUCUGCCUCUUUGUGAUGAUUUAACAAAGUGACCAUAACUAUUAAGUAAUUUCUCUAGUUUGUAAUAAGAAAGAGCCUUGCAUAUUUUUUGUUUAAUUUUA